CCCAAGAGAUCGGGAUAACACCUGGAAACAGAUGCUAAUACCGGAUAACAACAGAUGAUGCCUAUCAACUGUUUAAAAGAUGGUUCUGCUAUCACUCUUGGAUGGACCUGCGGUGCAUUAGCUAGUUGGUAGGGUAACGGCCUACCAAGGCGAUGAUGCAUAGCCGAGUUGAGAGACUGAUCGGCCACAUUGGGACUGAGACACGGCCCAAAACUCCUACGGGAGGCAGCAGCU
rnacentral:rRNA from 1 species